GAUGAACGCUGGCGGCGUGCUUAACACAUGCAAGUCGAACGGGAAUCACUUCAUUGAGACUUCGGUGGAUUUGAUUUGAUUCUAGUGGCGGACGGGUGAGUAACGCGUGGGUAACCUGCCUUAUACAGGGGGAUAACAGUCAGAAAUGACUGCUAAUACCGCAUAAGCGCACAGGACCGCAUGGUCCGGUGUGAAAAACUCCGGUGGUAUAAGAUGGACCCGCGUUGGAUUAGCUUGUUGGUGGGGUAACGGCCUACCAAGGCGACGAUCCAUAGCCGGCCUGAGAGGGUGAACGGCCACAUUGGGACUGAGACACGGCCCAGACUCCUACGGGAGGCAGCAGUGGGGAAUAUUGCACAAUGGGGGAAACCCUGAUGCAGCGACGCCGCGUGAAGGAAGAAGUAUCUCGGCAUGUAAACUUCUAUCAGCAGGGAAGAUAGUGACGGUACCUGACUAAGAAGCCCCGGCUAACUACGUGCCAGCAGCCGCGGUAA
rnacentral:rRNA from 1 species